CAGUCGCCGCGGGAAUACGAAGGGUGCAAGCGUUAAUCGGAAUUACUGGGCGUAAAGCGCACGUAGGCGGCGAUUUAAGUCAGAGGUGAAAGCCUGGAGCUCAACUCCAGAACUGCCUUUGAGACUGGAUUGCUUGAAUCACGGAGAGGUGGGUGGAAUUCCGAGUGUAGAGGUGAAAUUCGUAGAGAUCGGGAGGAACAUCAGUGGCGAAGGCGGCCAUCUGGGACAACACUGACGCUGAGGCACGAAAGCGUGGGGAGCAAACAGGAUUAGAUACCCCAGUAGUCCCUGUCUCUUAUAC
rnacentral:rRNA from 1 species